AGAGUUGGUUGGGCAAUCGCUGCCUGAAAGGGGAGAGGAAAGUCCGGACUCCAUAGGACAAGGUGUUGGCUAAUGACCAUCCACGGUGACGUGAGGAAUAGGGCCACAGAGACGAGCGUAUUAAGUUACGGUGAAACGCGGUAACCUCCACCUGGAGCAAUCUCAAAUAGGCAGGCGUUGAUGCGGUCCGCUGAGCCUGCGGGUAGAGAGCUCGAGCCUAACGGUAACGUUAGGCCUAGAUGAAUGAUUGCCCCUGAGGAAACUCAGGUGACAGAAUCCGGCUUAUAGACCAACUCUGCUU
rnacentral:RNase_P_RNA from 1 species